rnacentral:rRNA from 1 species
CCUACGGGAGGCAGCAGUGGGGAAUAUUGCGCAAUGGGCGAAAGCCUGACGCAGCGACGCCGCGUGAGGGAUGAAGGUCUUCGGAUCGUAAACCUCUGUCAGCAGGGAAGAACGGUCACUGUGCUAAUCAGCAGUGAAUUGACGGUACCUGCAAAGGAAGCACCGGCUAACUCCGUGCCAGCAGCCGCGGUAAUACGGAGGGUGCGAGCGUUAAUCGGAAUUACUGGGCGUAAAGCGCUCGUAGGCGGUAUGUCAAGUCAAGGGGGAAAUCCCCGCGCUCAACGUGGGAACUGCCUUUGAAACUGGCAAACUGGAGUGUGGGAGAGGAUAGUGGAAUGCCAGGUGUAGGUGUGAAAUCCGUAGAUAUCUGGAGGAACAUCAGUGGCGAAGGCGACUAUCUGGCACAUAACUGACGCUGAGGAGCGAAAGCGUGGGUAGCAAACAGGAUUAGAUACCCGGGUAGUC